UAAUACGUAGGGGGCGAGCGUUGUCCGGAUUUACUGGGUGUAAAGGGCGUGUAGGCGGGACGGCAAGUCAGAUGUGAAACCGAUGGGCUCAACCCAUCGCCUGCAUUUGAAACUGUCGUUCUUGAGUGAUGGAGAGGCAGGCGGAAUUCCCAGUGUAGCGGUGAAAUGCGUAGAUAUUGGGAGGAACACCAGUGGCGAAGGCGGCCUGCUGGACAUUAACUGACGCUGAGGCGCGAAAGCGUGGGGAGCAAACAGG
rnacentral:rRNA from 1 species